CAUAAACGACAAACAAU
rnacentral:sRNA from 1 species